rnacentral:rRNA from 2 species
UGGGGAAUAUUGGACAAUGGGCGCAAGCCUGAUCCAGCAAUACCGCGUGUGUGAAGAAGGCCUUAGGGUUGUAAAGCACUUUCAAUUGGGAAGAAAAGCAUCUGGUUAAUACCCGGGUGUUCUGACGGUACCUUUAGAAGAAGCACCGGCUAACUCCGUGCCAGCAGCCGCGGUAAUACGGAGGGUGCAAGCGUUAAUCGGAAUCACUGGGCGUAAAGCGCACGCAGGCGGCCUGUUAAGUCAGAUGUGAAAGCCCCGGGCUCAACCUGGGAACUGCAUUUGAUACUGGCAGGCUAGAGUAUGGGAGAGAGAAGUGGAAUUCCACAUGUAGCGGUGAAAUGCGUAGAUAUGUGGAGGAACAUCAGUGGCGAAGGCGACUUCUUGGCCCAAUACUGACGCUCAGGUGCGAAAGCGUGGGGAGCAAACAGG